rnacentral:tRNA from 1 species
AGGCCCGUAGCUCAGCUCGGUAGAGCACCGCUCCUUUUGCCAGACGCCGAAUGGCGAAGGGGAAAGCGGAGAUCACCCGUUCAAAUCGGGUCGGGCCUU